AUGUUCCUUCUCAUACUGGAACAUACCCUGGCAAAUAGGUUGCAUACAGUACAAUUUGCUCACCCUGGAAGUAGAACCUUGAAGUCUGUAAAGACAGUAACGCUGGCAGCAUGUCAUGCCGAACAGACAGCCCGGGAGACCUGUGUUAUCUCUCACAGCGCUACAGCACGAGGAGGGGCAGCUCCAUCUUCCACUACAGCGACCUGUCACCCUGCCUCAGCCUCGGAUCAGCGGGGUCGCUUCCAGGAACAAGGGGAGAAGUCAGCCCUUAUGACCCAGCCCUUUGAUAAGCCUCCUAACCGGGGUGCCAAUUAGAGCCGAGUGGGAUGGGGGAUUUUACAAGGCUGGUGAGCGCUGGUGGCCACUGACCCUGCAGGGCUGCAUCCCUAAUGCAGGGUGCUUCCCCUAAUGCAGGGGGUAGGGGCUGGGAAAACUACAGAAGGCACGGGGAGGGCUCCAACUGCAAGCAUUUUUCCUCCAGGCUGGUACCAAGUUCCCGCUCUCAUUGUAUCUGAGAUGUUCUGUUUUGGAUAAAAAUCAGGCUCACACCCCUCUGCUGUCACAAAGGGUCCCGUGGAAUAUUUAUGGACUAUUUUGGGAAAGAAUAAGAUGGUAGCUCUUACAUCUUUGCCACAUGUCCUUCUCAUCUCCCUAAAUCUCCUCUGCUGUUUUAUUUGGAUAACACAGCUUUCAAAACGUGCCUUCCAUUAUGAAGUGCUGCUGUCCAGCUGUUCAGUGUCAGGCUUUGCUUCAGGCUUUCUUUCUCUGUGGGCAUGUGUCUGCCUUUCUUUGCACAGCCGACUCGCUGAUGUGCAGCGUAUGCUCAGGGGCAGCUCCCUGUCAUGAGCAAGCACUGAACUAAUAGAUGAUCUCAGGAAUGAUCAGAUCAAUUCAUUAACCUUCUGAAUAAAGUUGUCUAUUGAUACA
rnacentral:lncRNA from 1 species